GUCACCCCACACAUCCCCCUUUCUCUCUGGUGAAAUAAAAUUAAAUUAAAAGCGUGGAUUCAAAGGUUCAACUGAAUAGGUAGUAUAAAUGCGUGCGCAGUACCCUUUGAAAAAUGCUGCACAGAUUUCCCAGCUGUCUUCCUUCUAGUCCUCCCACUUGAAGAAGAAAAACGAUCAUAGCAAUCCUUAAAAAAAAUCGGCAUGACAGUUUCAAUUUUUCCCUGCAAGAAUCAAGACCAAAAAAUUCCUCAUCAAACCAGGGCCUAUCAGGACUAUCUUAGAAAAGCUGUAGCACCAGCGCGUAUAUCAAGACAUUGAAACAAGAAUAAAAUAAUUAUCUUAUAAAAAGUUCUUCAAUUCUGCGAACGUAUUCGGAGAGAUGUGAAGGGGGUCGCUUCAUCCGGCUGGAUCGCUCGCGAACACCAUCGCUGUCAGGAACAUCGGAACCUGUGUGAUCCUUGUCCGCUUCAGAUGAUGUCUCUCGCCACAGCAGCUGGCGGCGAUGGUGGUAUCGGAAGAAUGGGCACCGGAGAUGGCUCCCGACGACGACGAGGCGAUCGAGAUCGAUCGCGAUCUGGCACUGGCGACGGCGAUCUGGUUCGCGAUCGGUUUCGCGGCUCCUGCUGUUGUUUCGGCUGCUGGCCGGUCUGGGCGCUCCGCCGACGGCCACUCGUCUCACGGAGAGCUCCCACCUGGGGUUUACACCCGCGGGCUGACUGCUAAAAUAAUAAAAAACAUUAAAAAUGAAAAAUAAAAAUUACGUGUGUAUCGCA